rnacentral:sRNA from 1 species
CAACCGGAUCUUAAAAGCCUUAGUAUUGAAUCUUUGUUAGAAGAUACUAAGACAAAGACUCAUACGGACUUCGGCUACACCUUCAAAGCUUUGAGAAGCAAGAAGAAGCUUGCUUAGUGUUUUGGAGUCAAAUAUGACUUGAUGUAAUGUGUAUGAGUGAGUAUAACAACUAGAAUCGCAACCAGAUCUGAAAAGCCUAAGUAUUGUAUCCUUCUUA